AUGAACGCUGGCGGCGUGCCUAAUACAUGCAAGUCGAGCGCACAGACGAGGAGCUUGCUCCUCUGACGUUAGCGGCGGACGGGUGAGUAACACGUGGAUAACCUACCUAUAAGCCUGGGAUAACUUCGGGAAACCGGAGCUAAUACCGGAUAAUAUAUUGAACCGCAUGGUUCAAUAGUGAAAGACGGUUUUGCUGUCACUUAUAGAUGGAUCCGCGCCGCAUUAGCUAGUUGGUAAGGUAACGGCUUACCAAGGCAACGAAGCGUAGCCGACCUGAGAGGGUGAUCGGCCACACUGGAACUGAGACACGGUCCAGACUCCUACGGGAGGCAGCAGUAGGGAAUCUGCCGCAAUGGGCGAAAGCCUGACGGAGCAACGCCGCGUGAGUGAUGAAGGUCUUCGGAUCUUAAAACUCUGUUAUUAGGGAAGAACAAAUGUGUAAGUAACUAUGCACGGCUUGACGGUACCUAAUCAGAAAGCCACGGCUAACUACGUG
rnacentral:rRNA from 1 species